rnacentral:rRNA from 1 species
CCGCGUGAGUGAAGAAGGCCUUCGGGUUGUAAAGCUCUUUUGUCAGGGAAGAAACGGCUGUGGCUAAUAUCCACGGCUAAUGACGGUACCUGAAGAAUAAGCACCGGCUAACUACGUGCCAGCAGCCGCGGUAAUACGUAGGGUGCAAGCGUUAAUCGGAAUUACUGGGCGUAAAGCGUGCGCAGGCGGUUUUGUAAGUCUGACGUGAAAUCCCCGGGCUCAACCUGGGAAUUGCGUUGGAGACUGCAAGGCUAGAAUCUGGCAGAGGGGGGUAGAAUUCCGCGUGUAGCAGUGAAAUGCGUAGAGAUGUGGAGGAACACCGAUGGCGAAGG